AGUGAACGCUGGCGGUAGGCCUAACACAUGCAAGUCGAACGGCAGCACAGUAAGAGCUUGCUCUUACGGGUGGCGAGUGGCGGACGGGUGAGGAAUACAUCGGAAUCUACUUUUUCGUGGGGGAUAACGUAGGGAAACUUACGCUAAUGCCGCAUACGACCUACGGGUGAAAGCAGGGGAUCUUCGGACCUUGCGCGAUUGAAUGAGCCGAUGUCGGAUUAGCUAGUUGGCGGGGUAAAGGCCCACCAAGGCGACGAUCCGUAGCUGGUCUGAGAGGAUGAUCAGCCACACUGGAACUGAGACACGGUCCAGACUCCUACGGGAGGCAGCAGUGGGGAAUAUUGGACAAUGGGCGCAAGCCUGAUCCAGCCAUACCGCGUGGGUGAAGAAGGCCUUCGGGUUGUAAAGCCCUUUUGUUGGGAAAGAAAAGCAGCAGGUUAAUACCCCGCUGUUCUGACGGUACCCAAAGAAUAAGCACCGGCUAACUUCAUG
rnacentral:rRNA from 1 species